rnacentral:rRNA from 1 species
GAUGAACGCUGGCGGCGUGCCUAAUACAUGCAAGUCGAGCGAAUGGAUUAAGAGCUUGCUCUUAUGAAGUUAGCGGCGGACGGGUGAGUAACACGUGGGUAACCUGCCCAUAAGACUGGGAUAACUCCGGGAAACCGGGGCUAAUACCGGAUAACAUUUUGAACCGCAUGGUUCGAAAUUGAAAGGCGGCUUCGGCUGUCACUUAUGGAUGGACCCGCGUCGCAUUAGCUAGUUGGUGAGGUAACGGCUCACCAAGGCAACGAUGCGUAGCCGACCUGAGAGGGUGAUCGGGCACACUGGGACUGAGACACGGCCCAGACUCCUACGGGAGGCAGCAGUAGGGAAUCCUCCGCAAUGGACGAAAGUCUGACGGAGCAACGCCGCGUGAGUGAUGAAGGCUUUCGGGUCGUAAAACUCUGUUAUUAGGGAAGAACAAGUGCUAGUUGAAUAAGCUGACACCUUGACGGUACCUAACCAGAAAGCCACGGCUAACUACGUGCCAGCCGCCGCAGUAA